rnacentral:rRNA from 1 species
UCUACGGCCGUCCGAGUUGUAGUCUGGAGAAGCGUUUUCUACGUCGGACCGUGUACAAGUCCCUUGGAACAGGGCGUCGUAGAGGGUGAGAAUCCCGUCUUUGACACGGACUGCCGACGUUUUGCGAUGCGCUCUCGAAGGGUCGAGUUGUUUGGGAAUGCAGCUCAAAACGGGUGGUAAAUUCCAUCUAAAGCUAAAUAUUGGCGAAAGACCGAUAGCGAACAAGUACCGUGAGGGAAAGAUGAAAAGCACUUUGGAAAGAGAGUUAAACAGUACGUGAAAUUGUUGAAAGGGAAACGCUUGAAGUCAGUCACGUCUUCCGGGACUCAGCCCUUGCUUUUUUUUUUCUGCUUGGCGUAUUUCCCGGGGCGACGGGCCAGCGUCGAUUUCGAUCGUCGGAGAAAGGCUUUGGGAACGUGGCAMCUUCGGGUGUGUUAUAGCCCUCGGUCGCAUGCGACGGUCGGGAUCGAGGAUCGCAGCACGCCAUUCUUUUUGGCCGGGGUUCGCCCACGUAACGUGCUUAGGAUGCUGGCGUAAUGGCUUUAAGCGACCCGUCUUGAAACACGGACCAAGGAGUCUCACAUGCCUGCGAGUGUUUGGGUGCGAAACCCGGACGCGGAAUGAAAGUGAAAGGUCGGGACCUCCGUCGUGGAGGGCACCGACGCCCGGACCAGACCUUCUGUGACGGUUCCGAGGUGGAGCA